rnacentral:rRNA from 1 species
UACGGAGGGUGCAAGCGUUAUCCGGAUUCACUGGGUUUAAAGGGUGCGUAGGCGGGCAGGUAAGUCCGUGGUGAAAUCUCCGAGCUUAACUUGGAAACUGCCAUUGAUACUAUCACUCUUGAAUAUUGUGGAGGUCAGCGGAAUAUGUCAUGUAGCGGUGAAAUGCUUAGAUAUGACAUAGAACACCAAUUGCGAAGGCAGCUGGCUACGCAUAUAUUGACACUGAGGCACGAAAGCGUGGGGAUCAAACAGG